rnacentral:rRNA from 1 species
CAGCCGUAAACUAUGCGCGUUAGGUGUACUGGUGACCACGAGUCACCGGGGUGCCGAAGGGAAACCGUGAAACGUGCCGCCUGGGAAGUACGGUCGCAAGGCUGAAACUUAAAGGAAUUGGCCGGGGGAGCACCACAACGGGUGGAGCCUGCGGUUUAAUUGGACUCAACGCCGGAAAUCUCACCGGAUAGGACAGACAUAUGAUAGUCGGGCUGAAGACUCUACUUGAUGAUCUGAGAGGAGGUGCAUGGCGUAGUCGUGU